AGUCGAACGAUGAACCACUUCGGUGGGGAUUAGUGGCGAACGGGUGAGUAACACGUGGGCAAUCUGCCCUGCACUCUGGGACAAGCCCUGGAAACGGGGUCUAAUACCGGAUACUGAUCGCCUUGGGCAUCCUUGGUGAUCGAAAGCUCCGGCGGUGCAGGAUGAGCCCGCGGCCUAUCAUCUUGUUGGUGAGGGAAUGG
rnacentral:rRNA from 1 species